UACAGAGGUCUCAAGCGUUGUUCGGAUUCAUUGGGCGUAAAGGGUGCGUAGGUGGCGCGGAAAGUCGGGUGUGAAAUUUCGGAGCUUAACUCCGAAACUGCAUUCGAUACUGCCGUGCUUGAGGACUGGAGAGGAGACUGGAAUUUACGGUGUAGCAGUGAAAUGCGUAGAGAUCGUAAGGAAGACCAGUGGCGAAGGCGGGUCUCUGGACAGUUCCUGACACUGAGGCACGAAGGCCAGGGGAGCAAACGGG
rnacentral:rRNA from 1 species